rnacentral:rRNA from 1 species
UGCCAGACUCCUACGGGAGGCAGCAGUGAGGAAUAUUGGUCAAUGGGCGCGAGCCUGAACCAGCCAAGUCGCGUGAGGGAAGACGGUCCUAUGGAUUGUAAACCUCUUUUGUCGGGGAGCAAAAGACGCCACGCGUGGCGUUCCGAGAGUACCCGAAGAAAAAGCAUCGGCUAACUCCGUGCCAGCAGCCGCGGUAAUACGGAGGAUGCGAGCGUUAUCCGGAUUUAUUGGGUUUAAAGGGUGCGUAGGCGGAUUGAUAAGUUAGAGGUGAAAUGUCCGAGCUCAACUCGGGAACUGCCUCUAAUACUGUUGAUCUAGGGAGUAGAUGCGGUAGGCGGAAUGUAUGGUGUAGCGGUGAAAUGCUUAGAGAUCAUACAGAACACCGAUUGCGAAGGCAGCUUACCAAUCUAUAUCUGACGUUGAGGCACGAAAGCGUGGGGAGCAAACAGGAUUAGAUACCCGUGUA